rnacentral:rRNA from 1 species
GGGGCGCCAGGCGCGAAAACUUUACAAUGCUGGCAACAGCGAUAAGGGAACCUCGAGUGCCAGGUUACAAAUCUGGCUGUCGAGAUGCCUAAAAAGCAUUUCAUAGCAAGGGCCGGGCAAGACCGGUGCCAGCCGCCGCGGUAACACCGGCGGCUCGAGUGGUAACCGUUAUUAUUGGGUCUAAAGGGUCUGUAGCCGGCCGGAUAAGUCUCUUGAGAAAUCUGGCAGCUUAACUGUCAGGCUUUCAGGAGAUACUGUCUGGCUCGAGGCCGGGAGAGGUGAGAGGUACUUCAGGGGUAGGGGUGAAAUCUUGUAAUCCUUGAAGGACCACCAGUGGCGAAGGCGUCUCACCAGAACGGACCUGACGGCAAGGGACGAAAGCUAGGGGCACGAACCGGAUUAGAUACCCGGGUAGUCCUAGCCGUAAACGAUACUCGCUAGGUGUCGGCCACGGUGCGACCGUUGUCGGUGCCGUAGGGAAGCCGUGAAGCGAGCCACCUGGGAAGUACGGCCGCAAGGCUGAAACUUAAAGGAAUUGGCGGGGGAGCACCACAACGGGUGGAGCUUGCGGUUUAAUUGGAUUCAACGCCGGAAAUCUUACCGGGACCGACAGCAAUAUGAAGGCCAGGCUGAAGACUUUGCCGGAUUAGCUGAGAGGUGGUGCAUGGCCGUCGUCAGUUCGUACUGUGAAGCAUCCUGUUAAGUCAGGCAACGAGCGAGACCCACGCCCACAGUUGCCAGCGUACUCUCCGGAGUGACGGGUACACUGUGGGGACCGCCGCUGCUAAAGCGGAGGAAGGAAUGGGCAACGGUAGGUCAGUAUGCCCCGAAUAUCCCGGGCUACACGCGAGCUACAAUGGUUGGUACAAUGGGUAUCUACCCCGAAAGGGGACGGAAAUCUCCUAAAACCAAUCUUAGUUCGGAUUGAGGGCUGCAACUCGCCCUCAUGAAGCUGGAAUCCGUAGUAAUCGCGUUUCAACAGAACGCGGUGAAUACGUCCCUGCUCCUUGUACACACCGCCCGUCA